GACGGGGGAUGCGAGCGUUAUCCGGAAUGAUUGGGCGUAAAGGGUCCGCAGGUGGCCCGGUCAGUCCGCUGUCAAAUCCCAGGGCUCAACCCUGGACAGGCGGUGGAAACUACCAAGCUGGAGUACGGUAGGGGCAGAGGGAAUUUCCGGUGGAGCGGUGAAAUGCGUAGAGAUCGGAAAGAACACCAACGGCGAAAGCAACUCUGCUGGGCCGACACUGACACUGAGAGACGAAAGCUAGGGGAGCGAAUGGG
rnacentral:rRNA from 1 species